CCUACGGGAGGCAGCAGCUAAGAAUCUUCCGCAAUGGGCGCAAGCCUGACGGAGCGACGCCGCGUGGACGAUGAAGGCCGCAAGGUUGUAAAGUCCUUUUCUCUGUGAAGAAUAAGCGGGGGAGGAAAUGCCCCUGUGAUGACGUUAGCAGAGGAAUAAGCCCCGGCUAAUUACGUGCCAGCAGCCGCGGUAAUACGUAAGGGGCGAGCGUUGUUCGGAAUUAUUGGGUGUAAAGGGCGCGUAGGCGGCUUGGCAAGUCUGGGGUGAAAGGCUACAGCUAAACUGUAGUUAGGCGCUGGAAACUGCGAGGCUAGAGUGCAGGAGAGGGAGCUGAAAUUCCAGGUGUAGGGGUAAAAUCUGUAGAGAUCUGGAAGAGCACCGGUGGCGAAGGCGAGCUCCUGGUCUGUAACUGACGCUGAGGCGCGAAAGCGUGGGGAGCGAACAGGAUUAGAUCCCCUGGUAGU
rnacentral:rRNA from 1 species